rnacentral:rRNA from 1 species
UACAGAGGGUGCAAACGUUGUUCGGAUUUACUGGGCGUAAAGCGCGUGUAGGCGGUUUACCAAGUCGGACGUGAAAGCCCGGGGCUCAACCUCGGAAGUGCGCUCGAUACUGGUAGACUGGAGUCUCGGAGAGGAUGGUGGAACUCUCGGUGUAGAGGUGAAAUUCGUAGAUAUCGAGAAGAACACCGGCGGCGAAGGCGGCCAUCUGGACGAAGACUGACGCUGAGACGCGAAAGCGUGGGGAGCAAACAGG